AGAGUUUGAUCAUGGCUCAGAACGUACCCUGUCGGCACGCCUAACACAUGCAAGUCGAACGAAGUAGCAAUCCCUUUUGGCAGACGGGUGAGUAACAUGUGGGUAUCUGCCCUUUGGCCUGGAAUAACACGAGGAAACUUGUGCUAAUACCGGAUAAGUCUUUACGGAGAAAGCUUUAUGCACCAUUGGAUGAGCCCGCACUUGAUUAGUUUGUUGGUGGGGUAAUGGCCUACCAAGACUGUGAUCAAUAGCUGAUUUGAGAGGAUGAUCAGCCACAUUGGGACUGAGACACGGCCCAAACUCCUACGGGAGGCAGCAGUGGGGAAUCUUGCACAAUGGAGGAAACUCUGAUGCAGCGAUGCCGCGUGAGUGAAGAAGGCCCUUGGGUUGUAAAGCUCUUUCGUCGGGGAAGAAAAUGACUGUACCCGAAUAAGAAGGUCCGGCUAACUUCGUGCCAGCAGCCGCGGUAAUACGAAGGGACCUAGCGUAGUUCGGAAUUACUGGGCUUAAAGAGUUCGUAGGUGGUUGAAAAAGUUAGUGGUGAAAUCCCAGAGCUUAACUCUGGAACUGCCAUUAAAACUUUUCAGCUAGAGUAUGAUAGAGGAAAGCAGAAUUUCUAGUGUAGAGGUGAAAUUCGUAGAUAUUAGAAAGAAUACCAAUUGCGAAGGCAGCUUUCUGGAUCAUUACUGACACUGAGGAACGAAAGCAUGGGUAGC
rnacentral:rRNA from 1 species